rnacentral:rRNA from 1 species
ACAUAAUAGUUACAACUUUCAACAACGGAUCUCUUGGUUCUGGCAUCGAUGAAGAACGCAGCGAAAUGCGAUAAGUAGUGUGAAUUGCAGAAUUCAGUGAAUCAUCGAAUCUUUGAACGCACAUUGCGCCCCUUGGUAUUCCAUGGGGCAUGCCUGU